GCAGACAUGGGCAACUGGCGGCCCCGGGGUCACAUGCGGCCCUCGGUCUAACGCUAUGCGGAACCCCAAAGUAAACGUACAAAAUGACAGAAUUGAAAAAUACACAAAACAAAAGCAAGAAUACAUUAAAAAAAAAAAAAAAAAGAAUGAAAAAAUUGCAGGAAAAAACACAAGAAAAAUUACUCCAAUAAAAUCACAAAACUACCACAAAAACAAUAACAACAGUAUUACAUAGAAUGACUCCAAAUAACACAAAAUGACAACAAAAAUAUAGAAAAUGACUCAAAGAAAUCUAUAAUAUUACAGAAAAUAAAAACAAAUGUACACAAAAAUACAACAAAAGUACACAAAAAUACAAGAAAAACACACAAAAAUGACUGUAAACCCAUAGUACAAACAAACAAGUAAAACAACAGAAAGACACAAAAUCACUCCAAAUAACACAAAACGACAACAAAAAUACACAAAAUGACUCAAAGAAAUCUACAAUAUUACAAAAAAUGAUGACAAAAGUACACAAAAAUUACUUCGCAAACCCACAGUACUAACAAACAAGCAAAAUGACAACAUAAAUACCCAAUAUGACUAAAAUAAAAAUGCCUUUUUACAGGAAAAAUACACAAAAUGACAACAGAGUACAAUCAUAAUAAUGACAGAAAAACACACAGAAUAUAAAAACUCUUUCUUCCUAACACUGAAGUUGGUCAUUAUUCUAAAUGCUGCGUGAAUGUUGAUAAUGUGGCCCUUCGAUCAUACAAACACAUUUCUGUGGCCCCCGCUGUGAUAGAAGUUGCCCACCUCUGGCCUAGAGUUUCAACUGGUUUUACAUUAAUCAUCAGUCAAAAUCAUAAACGUGUAUUUUUCAUGCAGGGACUAGGAAACCCCUUCCUUCCUGCUGCUGAUGCUCCUGUGGAUCCUGCAGUGGUUGCAGUGGUAAGAAGGCCCCAAACAGAUGGACUGAAAAACCAAGAUGAUCCCUGCAGACCAUGUGAACCAAUGUGUGUGUUUUUCUUAAUGCAGGUGGAAGCAGCAGCAGCUCGGCCGGCUGAUGUCGCCGCUCCUGCUCCCGUCCCUGUGGGAGACGCCUCAGAGGAGGAAACAGAG
rnacentral:lncRNA from 1 species